AUUGAACGCUGGCGGCAGGCUUAACACAUGCAAGUCGAGCGGAGAUGAGGUGCUUGCACCUUAUCUUAGCGGCGGACGGGUGAGUAAUGCUUAGGAAUCUGCCUAUUAGUGGGGGACAACAUUCCGAAAGGAAUGCUAAUGCCGCAUACGUCCUACGGGAGAAAGCAGGUGAUCUUCGGACCUUGCGCUAAUAGAUGAGCCUAAGUCGGAUUAGCUAGUUGGUGGGGUAAAGGCCUACCAAGGCGACGAUCUGUAGCGGGUCUGAGAGGAUGAUCCGCCACACUGGGACUGAGACACGGCCCAGGCUCCUACGGGAGGCAGCAGUGGGGAAUAUUGGACAAUGGGGGGAACCCUGAUCCAGCCAUGCCGCGUGUGUGAAGAAGGCCUUAUGGUUGUAAAGCACUUUAAGCGAGGAGGAGGCUACUGAGACUAAUACUCUUGGAUAGUGGACGUUACUCGCAGAAUAAGCACCGGCUAACUCUGUGCCAGCAGCCGCCGUAAUAC
rnacentral:rRNA from 1 species